UACAGAGGUCUCAACCGUUGUUCGGAUUCAUUGGGCGUAAAGGGUGCGUAGGCGGUCGCGUAAGUCAGGUGUGAAAUCCCGGGGCUCAACCCCGGAACUGCACUUGAUACUGCGUGGCUCGGGUACUGGAGAGGAGACUGGAAUUUACGGUGUAGCAGUGAAAUGCGUAGAUAUCGUAAGGAAGACCAGUGGCGAAGGCGGCGACCUGGGUCGAUACUGACGCUGAGGUGCGAAAGCGUGGGGAGCAAACAGG
rnacentral:rRNA from 1 species